GUGGCUGGGAUGAAAGCUGGCUUAGGGUGGCUUCCAAAGAGAAUAUGAAGAGAGGAAGGCUAGAUAGUGUGUAUAAAUAACUCCUCUGAGCAAUUUUGUCAUAAACGGAAGUGGGAAGACAUGGAGCAAUAUCUGAAGAAGAUAUGGGAAUAUGAGCUGCUGUGCUUUCUAUCAUUCCUGGAAGAAAUCUCUAAUUAGAGAAGACCCUAGGGCCAAGAAAGAUUUUUGUUGUGCUGGAAAACACUAAACGCUCUUGAUAAGAGCCUUUUUUCUCGCUCUUUCCAAGCAAUGAGAUUGCCCAUUUCUCUCAUACUUUUGUAAACUAGUUGGGGAUCAUGGAGUUUUGAAUAAAGAGAGAUUGAGCUAAGAGCACUCUACUGUUGAGGAUUUCAAACAGAGUGAAUUGGAGCAUAUUUUAAGCUCCUGUAAUUGCCGAGGAAUCUUAAGAAAUUGAGUAAACUUCUGUGAGACAAUCAACAUUAGCAGAAGAGAGUGCUUAGUUUGUCUUACAUGUGCCGCUCUCUGAAAAUCAGUAAGGAGCCAAGACAAUAGGGCCUGAUAUUAAUAAAAUGAGGGUUUUGAAACUGGGAGUUAUUGAGCACUUCUCUUCUACACAUUGGAUUGCAGAUAAAGGCAGAUGUUCAGAGAGGAGCAAAAAUGACAGGUUGCCACUCUCCCAGAUUUUGAGGAUGAGCAGAAGCAGAAGACGUCUCUGGGUGUCCACCCACAGAGGAUCCACUGAUGGCGGCUCUGGCUCGGGCGUCCCCGCUGGACCCGGCUGAGCAGCGGAGGACACGGACGCCAGCUGGGAGCCCUCACACAACAUCUCACUUAAAAUGUCAUGUAUGCUACUUGGUUUAAAUUGUCACCCCUCCAGCAGCCACAAACAAUGCAGACACAGCAGAUGUGUUUUCUAUUUAGAAUUAAACAGUUUAUCUCAACCACUGUCAUUGUUAUAGAGAAAAAAUAAAUAAAUAUCCAUCUUAAUGUAAACUUCAAAAGGUACUUUCUGGCAACGGGAGAUAUUUUCAAAUCCAAAGUCCUCUGAGAAAACUAGGAUUUGACCACAAAUUUUUUUUUCAAAUCGGGAUGCUGGCAGCUCCAAGAGUAGUAAAACACAGCCUGGUCAAAAGAUUUCUGGCCAGAUAUUACAUACAAUAACUCAUGUCAUUGAUGCUUAAUGGUCCAAAACAUUAAGUAAACAUCAUAAAUGUCUUUUGUUAUUAAAUGUUCCAUUCAAACAUUUUGUUUAACUCUUGUGUAAUGGAUUGAAAAUAAGAAAGCUGCGGUAGAGAUUGGCCCUCAUGACCAUCUUUGAUUCACCUUCAAAGGUAUUUUUGUAAAUGUAUGCCAUCCUCAUAGUUACAGAAAGAAAAGAGCACGUCUGCUCCUCAGUGUAUGCAUUCUGUCUCUGGAAGUUAGACUACUUGGAAGCUUGACUUUUUUAGGUCAAGUUCAAACUACCACCCAUGUAUUCUGAAGACUAUAACUUUGUUCUCUCUAAAGUAGGGAAGUCAGUCUUCCCCUGUGUUAACUAAAAUAGAAAUAUGGGUGUUUUCUUAAUGUGAGGUCACAAAGACAGGGAAAAUGCUACUUUUUAAAGAUCAUUUUGCAAGAAAAACAAUUGCUAUAGUAAAAGGAAGACCACAAUUGGUUUGUAAAAAAAAAAAAAAGCCAUCAAGACAGUGAUUAUCUAAUGUAGUUUACCCCAUUUCACAAAUUUUGACAUAAAUGCAUAAUCUGAAGGCAGCGUUUAGUCAUUAGAACAUGACUCAUUUUAUCCUGGAUCUAACCUCAGCUUUUCUCUUGUUGUGUGUGUGUGUGUUUUUAAUCUGUAGCUAAAACAUCAGUAAAAAGCCCUAGUCAUGAUAUUUUACUUGUAUUUUUCCAUAGAGCUUCUUUUCUUCCAAUUUAAGUAAAGCCAGUUGCUCAGCUCCCCUUCUUGAAUUAUCUAUUCUUACAAGCCCCAAAUGCUGAGAGUUAUCUGGAUGUUUUCUGGUUCUCUUAGUGAGGAGAACAUCCAAACAACACAAACCAAAUGGCCAUCCAUUUCUAUCUAUCCUAUAAUUUGUAUGUAAAGACAAUCUGAACUCACAUCUGGCAUGUUGCAUUCCAUCUUAGUUGAUUCUAAAUGUGUUUUUCAUCAUAUGCAGCACAUUUUGGGGAGAAGGGUAGCAUCAUCGCUCUAAGUAAUAGAAUUCUCUAAAUGAAACUCCUGAAAGUUUGUCUUUUCACAGUAUGUCUAUGACUCAUUUGUUUAUUCAUUCAUUCAAACAAUGUUUCAUCUAACAAUUAGUUAUUAAGCACCUAGUAAGCUCUUGCCUGGAGAAUCCCAUGGACAGGGGAGCCUAAU